CCUACGGGGGGCUGCAGUGGGGAAUAUUGCACAAUGGGGGAAACCCUGAUGCAGCGACGCCGCGUGAGUGAAGAAGUAUUUCGGUAUGUAAAGCUCUAUCAGCAGGGAAGAAAAUGACGGUACCUGAUUAAGAAGCCCCGGCUAACUACGUGCCAGCAGCCGCGGUAAUACGUAGGGGGCAAGCGUUAUCCGGAUUUUCUGGGUGUAAGGGGAGCGUAGACGGCAGCACAAGUCAGGAGUGGAAUGCCGGGGCUUAACCCCGGAACUGCUUUGGAAACUGUGCAGCUAGAGUGCAGGAGAGGUAAGUGGAAUUCCUAGUGUAGCGGUGAAAUGCGUAGAUAUUAGGAAGAACACCAGUGGCGAAGGCGGCUUACUGGACUGUAACUGACGUUGAGGCUCGAAAGCGUGGGGAGCAAACAGGAUUAGAUACCCCAGUAGUC
rnacentral:rRNA from 1 species